UGAGAGGCAGCAGUGAACAAACAGGCGUUUAGUGUGUUGGUGAAGAAGAAAUCUUUCAUCUUGUUUGUCUCCCAGCUCAACUUAUAACAGCCACAGUUGUUUCAGAAGAAGUCAAAGUGAAGCUUAAUACAUAUGAGCUUUAUCCACAUGAAGACCCAUUUCAGCCUAAGGACACCUGGAGGGGAGAGGGCUGGACGAAGGCGGCUAACGAAGACGAGCUACAGGGGAGGAGGGUGAUAAUGAGGACCAGCCACCAGAGAAAGAAAUCCCUGUUUGACCAAAGAGAAAGAAGCAGAUGAAAUAUUCCCCAAGAUAAUUAGAUCUGCUUCCUGGAAACGAAGACAAGAAGAAGAUCUCCUGUUACCAGAGCGAUAGAGGAAGAGUGUAACCAUCAGAGCAAAACCUGUCAGGACUGAUGGAAGAACCAAUUUUAUUCAGCUGUUUCUCAGGGUUUAAUUACGGCCGGCUCUGAGCAGGAGCAUCGUGACCCUGGAGGAGAAGCCAUCAGACAGCGGCCCUAACAAUGAUAAAUCACCCAGAGCCUCAGAUAGAACCCCCCGGCCCCCCAGGAGGAGGAGGAAGAGGAGGAGGAAGAGGAGCAGUGAUUCACAGGGAAACAUUGAAAUUCGUGUCAUGAAUCCGGCUCGGCUCGUUAUUCCCCAUGAAGAAUGGAAAUCUCCUCAUUCAUGGAGUUAAUAAUCCCGGAUUGGACCGGUGCUGAGUGAGUCAGCAUGGGGUCAAAGGUCAGAGCUAAAGCUGUGCACGCUAUGCGCCAAACGGGUUUCGGCUUUGCUUCAUCCAGAUCCCUCUUCGCUCCGGAUCUUUGCAUCAAUCAGAUUUAAGCAGCACAUGGAUAUUUCCCAUGUUUGUAACAGAUUUUAAUGAGGAAUAUUUGUUCUGAUUGUUGAUAAAGACUGAAGUUCUGCUGGUACCGGCCGGUCCGACAGGAGACUGACUGACCUCUGACCUUACUCCUGGAUCAGCUCUUUAAUUUGUUUCUUCUGGUUGGAAAUGCUCCCACUAUAGUCUUCAUUAUCGCCGUGUCGGUAAUAGCUAGCAUGCCAACAGCUAACAAACUGCUAACAGCUAGCAUGCUAACAGCUAGCAUGCUAAGAGCUAACCACACGUUUUUUAAAAUGUUUAAAUAAUUCAGGAUUUAUUCAGCACCUAAAGUGUUUUAUAAUCAGUCAAUUAGUAAUAAGUUGGUAUGAUCUAAUUUUAAACUAAUAUAUUUUUCUCUUAUUAAAACAAUUUGGAUUAACUAGCUUAAAGUUAGCAUCGCUGUUUUCCAUAAUGCCAGGAAAUAAAGACAGUAAAUAGUGAGAUAUUAUCACUUUAUGUUUUAUUUACAAAAUAUUUGGUGCAAAUUCAUCUGAAUAAGAGCUACUUUGGCCUCAUUUCCAUAUUCUGAACUAUUGGUCGUUAUUUCCAGAUAAUUAGAUUUAGUUUGCUUAAUAAUUGCGUUCUGUGUUUAUGAAGCGGUUCUGAGGAAAGCAGAGCUGUUGUCGCUCUGAUUGUUCCCAGAUUCAGUUUAACUCGUUUCCCUGCAGCCGAAGCCAACAGCGAAUCAAUCUGUCCUCACAUCUCUCUCCAUCUUCCUCCCUGCGUGGCGGAGUGGCAGCUGCAGGUGAAAACUAAAGAGAAGUGACAGCUCCAGUUAACCCGCCGCCGCCGCCGACAUGGCGCUUUGUCAGCUCACGGCGGCUCUCCUCCCCCCGCCGGGCUUCCGACCCGCGGAGCGUCUGGGAGCCAGGCGAUCCCAGGGCUUAUUGAGUUUUCUUCUGAAUAAAUAAAUAUUUAAAGGGAGCAGAACAGGCUGUAAAUCAGGCCGCCGCAGAGGCCAGACGAUGUGCGCUCACUAUUAGUAUCAAUUUACAAAUAAACUGCUUUUUUAGGGACUGGAUCUCCGAUGUCAGAUUUUGAUAAAUGGUUUCAAUUUAGAAGCUGCUUUGGAGUGUCAGAGUCCAUCUGAGGCAGCGGCUGCCGCCGCCUGCCGGCAUCUGCCUCAGUUAGCUUCAGCGAGGAGGCGGCAGCGCCACCACCUUCCUGGAAACACUGCGCUAACCUCUCUGCUAAAAGGACGCUAACCUCUCCGCUAACACAUUGCUAACCUAUCUGCUAGCGCAGAGCUAACCGCUCCGCUAAACGGAUGCUAAUCUGUCCGUUAACAAGGUGGAAAAAAGAGCAGAAACUAGAUGAAUGUAAAUGUAUCUCUUUCAUAUCGGCCCAGUUUUAUGAACAAAUGAAAAGUGCCAGAUGUCGACCGGCGCCGACGUCCAACUGCAGUUUUUCCCAUCAUUCCAGGCCUCCUGCUUUAAUUAACAAUUUGAACGACUGUCUUUCUUCUGUUCUGUAUUUUUUAUAUUUGUGUGGAACUAUAAAGAUUUUCUACAAAGUUUUCAAGGCAUAUUUUUAUUUUAUUUGAUGUUGUCAUCCUCCCAAAACCUCCAGCAGUUUCUUUCUGGACCCAAAACCCAAACCGAUCAGCUAAGUGAUGCGUUUACAGGCUGCAGUAUUUUUCAGCUUUUAAUGUUUGAACGCACCAAUCAAGCAGCUGGAAAUGUUCAAAUUGGAAUAAAAAUAUGGAAAAAACUGAUUUAAUGUAUUUAAGUUAUUA